AACGAACGCUGGCGGCAGGCUUAACACAUGCAAGUCGAACGCAUCCUUCGGGGUGAGUGGCAGACGGGUGAGUAACGCGUGGGAACGCGCCCUUCAGUUCGGGAUAACCCAGGGAAACUUGGGCUAAUACCGGAUACGUGCGAGAGCAGAAAGAUUUAUCGCUGAAGGAUCGGCCCGCGUCUGAUUAGCUAGUUGGUGGGGUAAUGGCCCACCAAGGCGACGACCAGUAGCUGGUCUGAGAGGAUGAUCAGCCACAUUGGGACUGAGACACGGCCCAAACUCCUACGGGAGGCAGCAGUGGGGAAUAUUGGACAAUGGGCGCAAGCUUGAUCCAGCCAUGCCGCGUGAGUGAUGAAGGCCUUAGGGUUGUAAAGCUCUUUCGUCCGGGACGAUAAUGACGGUACCGGAAGAAGAAGCCCCGGCUAACUUCGUGCCAGCCGCCGCUGUAA
rnacentral:rRNA from 1 species